rnacentral:rRNA from 1 species
CCCUAUCAACUUUCGACGGCUGGGUCUUGGCCAGCCAUGGUGACAACGGGUAACGGAGGGUAGGGCUCGACCCCGGAAGAAGAAGCCUGAGAAACGGUACUACAUCCAAGGAAGGCAGCAGGCGCGCAAAUUACCCAAUCCCGACUCGGGGAGGUAGUGACAAUAAAAUACUGAUACAGGGCUCAUUUGGGUCUUGUAAUUGGAAUGAGUACAAUUUAAAUCCCUUAACGAGGAACAAUUGGAGGGCAAGUCUGGUGCCAGCAGGCCGGGGUAAUUCCAGCUCCAAUAGCGUAUAUAAAGUUGUUGAGGUUAAAAAAGCUCGUAGUUGAACCUUGGGCCCAG